AAUAACCGCGCCUCAAGUGGUAGUCACGUUUAUUGGGCCUAAAGCGUCCGUAGCUGGUUCGAUAAGUCUCUGGUGAAAUCCUUUAGCAAACUAACGGAAGUGCUGGAGAUACUAUCGGACUCGAGACCGGGAGAGGUUGGGAGUAUUUCACGGGUAAAGGUAAAAUCUUUUAAUCCGUGAAGGACUACCUGUGGCGAAGCGCCCGACUGGAACGGGUCUGACAGUGAGGGACGAAAGCGUGGGGAGCGACCGGGAUUAGAUACCCCG
rnacentral:rRNA from 1 species